rnacentral:rRNA from 1 species
GGGGAAUAUUGGACAAUGGGCGCAAGCCUGAUCCAGCAAUGCCGCGUGUGUGAAGAAGGCCUUCGGGUUGUAAAGCACUUUUAUCGGGAGCGAAAAGCGGACGGUGAAUACCCGUCGGUGCUGACGGUACCCGAGGAAUAAGCACCGGCUAACUUCGUGCCAGCAGCCGCGGUAAUACGAAGGGUGCAAGCGUUAAUCGGAAUUACUGGGCGUAAAGCGUGCGUAGGCGGUUCGCUAAGUCUGCCGUGAAAGCCCCGGGCUCAACCUGGGAAUUGCGGUGGAGACUGGCGAGCUGGAGUGUGGUAGAGGAGGGUGGAAUUCCCGGUGUAGCGGUGAAAUGCGUAGAGAUCGGGAGGAACAUCAGUGGCGAAGGCGGCCCUCUGGACCAACACUGACGCUGAGGCACGAAAGCGUGGGAGCAAAC